rnacentral:lncRNA from 1 species
AAUUUUAAUCAAUCAAAUAGGAUUCCAUUAAUAAUCGUUCCAUUGUUGGCUUCGGUUUUACGUAUAGUUAAUAGAAAUUGGAUGGAUAGCUUAAAAAAGGUUAUAAUUCCACCUGUAAAAUUUAAUGAUAUUUACAGUAAACCACAGAUUAGAAUCGGAAAAGAAAUUACGGAAUUAUUGGAAAGAAAUCAAUUUACCCGACAAUUCAAAAGUAAAAUGCAUCGAUGGUAGUAAAUCUGUUGAGAUUAAUUCUCUCAAGAUAUAAACGUUUGGUUCAUAAACUAAAAGAAGCUGUUAAAAUUUUAAUGGUAAAAAAAUCGAUGAAAACAAUAGUUUCCCUUCUUCGUCUCUCUCGCAUCCUGCUGACGAUUCAAUUCCGACAGCGUAUCAAAUAUUUAUAUUUUGCACAUUUUACGCCCCUUUCCAAUCAGAGUCAUUACUAAGGGGCGGGGCCAGUUCCGACCACGGAUUGCACCC